GUUGCAGUUAAAAAGCUCGUAGUUGAACCUUGGGCCUGGCGGGCCGGUCCGCCUCACCGCGUGCACUGGAUACGCCGGGCCUUUCCUUCUGCGGAACGGCAUGCCCUUUAGUGGGCGUGUUUUGGGAAGCAGGACUUUUACUUUGAAAAAAUUAGAGUGUUCAAAGCAGGCCUUUGCUCGAAUACAUUAGCAUGGAAUAAUGGAAUAGGACGGCGCUCCUAUUUUGUUGGUUUCUAGGAGAGCCGUAAUGAUUAAUAGGGACAGUUGGGGGCAUCCGUAUUCAGUUGUCAGAGGUGAAAUUCUUGGAUUUACUGAAGACGAACUACUGCGAAAGCAUUUGCCAAAGAUGUUUUCAUUAAUCAGUGAACGAAAGUUAGGGGAUCGAAGACGAUCAGAUACCGUCGUAGUCUUAACCAUAAACUAUGCCGACUAGGGAUCGGACGAUGUUACUAUAUUGACUCGUUCGGCACCUUUCGAGAAAUCAAAGUGUUUGGGUUCUGGGGGGAGUAUGGUCGCAAGGCUGAAACUUAAAGAAAUUGACGGAAGGGCACCACCAGGAGUGGAGCCUGCGGCUUAAUUUGACUCAACACGGGGAAACUCACCAGGUCCAGAUACACGUAGGAUUGACAGAUUGAGAGCUCUUUCUUGAUUGUGUAGUUGGUGGUGCAUGGCCGUUCUUAGUUGGUGGAGUGAUUUGUCUGCUUAAUUGCGAUAACGAACGAGACCUUCAUCGUUAACUAGCCCGGCUCGCCUUGGCGGGUCGCCGGCUUCUUAGCGAGACUUUUGGCUAAGCCAAAGGAAGUUGGAGGCAAUAACAGGUCUGUGAUGCCCUUAGAUGUUCUG
rnacentral:rRNA from 1 species